rnacentral:rRNA from 1 species
AAUAGAUACCCGGGUAGUCCAUGCCGUAAACGUUGGGAACUAGGUGUGGGUCUCAUUCCACGAGAUCCGUGCCGCAGCUAACGCAUUAAGUUCCCCGCCUGGGGAGUACGGCCGCAAGGCUAAAACUCAAAGGAAUUGACGGGGGCCCGCACAAGCGGCGGAGCAUGCGGAUUAAUUCGAUGCAACGCGAAGAACCUUACCAAGGCUUGACAUACACCGGAAACAUCCAGAGAUGGGUGCCCCGCAAGGUCGGUGUACAGGUGGUGCAUGGUUGUCGUCAGCUCGUGUCGUGAGAUGUUGGGUUAAGUCCCGCAACGAGCGCAACCCUCGUUCUAUGUUGCCAGCACGUGAUGGUGGGGACUCAUAGGAGACUGCCGGGGUCAACUCGGAGGAAGUGGGGAUGACGUCAAAGUCAGUCAUGCCCCUUAUGUCUUGGGCUUCACGGCAUGCUACAAUGGCCGGUACAAGGGCGCGAAACCGUGAGUGAGCGAAUCCAAAAACCGGUNUCAGUUCGAUUGGGGUCUGCAACUGACCCC